GACAGAGGAUGCAAGCGUUAUCCGGAAUGAUUGGGCGUAAAGCGUCUGUAGGUUGUUUAAAAAAGUAUUUUGUUAAAGAUUAGGGCUUAACCUUAGAUAAGCAGAAUAAACUUUUAAGCUAGAGUUUGGUAGGGGCAGAGGGAAUUUCCGGUGGAGUGGUGAAAUGCGUAGAUAUCGGGAGGAACACCAAUAGCGAAAGCACUCUGCUGGGCCAAUACUGACGCUGAGGGACGAAAGCGAGGGGAGCAAAUGGG
rnacentral:rRNA from 1 species